GCAGAAUUCGGGGUGAGGCCUGCAGUGAAAAGAUGCAAAACUCGGGCUCACAGGCUCUGCCUCAAAACAGAAGCAGUGAAGCAAAAGCACGUCCAACAGAGAGAAUCAUGGGAAGCAAUCUAGAAAGGUCCAAAUACCAUCAAAGCAAGAAGGACUGAAGAGCCCAACUGAGCACACUGAAGAGCCACCCAGCAUUGGGCAGACAGCUCCCCCCAAGUAGGAGCUAACCACAUGCUACGUGCGUAUAGCUCAUUUUACAUGCAAGUUAAAAAGUUGUCUAGGUAUUCGAGCAUAUACAGACAUAUUCAUAUACAGAUAUUCAUUGGAAAUUUCUGGAGAAAUAGAGAAGAAAUUAUUCUUUGGGGCGUAAGGUUCAGGGGACUGGGGUAAUAAAGAGACUGUCAAAUA